UGAAGCAAUUCAAUUGAGUGAAGCUCAAUUUCUUACCUAUAAAAUAGGGAUAAUGCUAGUCUUUCUGGCUUGUCAAUAAAGACUAAAUGAGAGAAUGUACCUGAAGGUGCCUCGUACGUGCCAUGACUGCUAACACGGAUGACUUUAUGGGGUGCUAAGCUUUGGUAGCUAUGAUUGUUGAUGAAAAGUGAGUAUCUAUUAUUCUGUCAUUAUUGUUUGGAGCUCUGAUUCCUGGAGAUUGAGGAAAUGUUUCAAGUGUCUGCUGUGUGAGCUGAGCGCUCCUAGGCUUUUAUCUGUAUUCAGGAGAUGGUAGAUGGCCCUGUACCGUCUUCAGGAAGCUUGCAGACUAGUGGUGGUAGGUCUGGGCUAUAAUCAUUGGCUGUUGGAAUUAGGAAUAUAACAACUCUUGGAAUAACUAGAGUUGCUUGGAGAAAGAACUGUGGCCAGAGCAGUUAGAAGGGGGAUGAUCAGACCAGCAGUCUUUCUUUCCAAGCCUGAGAUCAGCUGCAGAAGACUCAGAACUGAAGUGAAGCCCGGGGAUGACCCAGUCUUACUCUCUUGUUUUAUGCAUAAAAACAAGUCCUAGAAAGGCAAAAUGGAUUGCCCAGGAUUAUGUGGCUGUUUCGGGUUAUAUCCUGGACUAGAAUGUUGGAGUUCUGCUUCCAGGUUACACAUUUUUUUCAUCACGCUGAACUUUGCUCUCAACUCAUUCUCCAUUUAUGCCCUUUCUUCAGUUUUCCUUCUCCACUGCCCACCUAGCAGAACUCUAUGGAAGGCCACCCUGUCCAACAGUCAGGCUGCAGGACCUUCUUUAGGCUUCUGCCUCUUGGUCUGACAUGUAGGUAGAGCUCUCUCUGUUGCUGAGUUUCUCCAUUGGUGGAAACCAAGGGUUCAGUUGACACUGCAGGGCUGUGUAGGCAAGCAGCACUAGCAACCAGCAGGCAGGCAGCACAGACGGGCCCUGAGGGAGCUUUGGACAUCAGUACUUGACAGGGAUGUUCAGAACCUGGAGAGCUUCCAGAGGAGAGCAAUGAAAACAGUGAGUGGGAGUGAGAAGGAAGAACUCUCAGGAAAGAUGAAAGGGUUUCAGAUUAUUUAUCUUGGAGAACAGAAAGCUGAGGGUGGCUUUGAAAAGGAGUUUCAGAUAUAAGAGCAGCUGUAGUAUAUCUUCCUUGAGGAUAGACUAAGAAAUUAGCUAACAGCAGCAAUUAGGCUACAGAGGUUUUCAAACUUAGCUGCCUAUUAGAGACAUCCAGAGAGCUUUUUAAAAAAUAUCAGUGUUCAAGCGUCACCUCAGAACAAUUAAAUCAGAAUCUUCUCUUCAAGAGCGAGUGUUAAACAUCGGUCAUUUCCUUAAUGUUUCCCAGGGUAGCGGACAUGGAGAACCAUAGAGUUAAGGGUCAAGAUAAAAGCUCACUAAUUGGUCCCGCCAGAGCUGCCAUCUUGUGGGAGCGAAACCAACACUUGGCUCGGAGCAGCAGCCGCUGAGGUGUCCCUGGCCAGUGUCCUUCCACCUGCCCACAAGCAUGCGGAACGUCUUCGCCAACCUCUUCAAGGGCCUUUUUGGCAAAAAGGAAAUGCGCAUCCUCGUGGUGGGCCUGGAUGCUGCGGGGAAGACCACGAUCCUGUACAAGCUAAAGCUGGGCGAGAUGGUGACCACCAUUCCCACCAUAGGCUCCAUUGUGGAAACCGUGGAGUACAAGAACAUCAGCUUCACUGUGUGGGACGUGGGUGGCCAGGACAAGAUCCGGCCUCUGUGGCACCACGAGUUCCAGAACACACAAGGCCUGAUCUUCGUGGUGGACAGCAAUGACAGAGCGCGUGAACGAGGCCCGUGAGGAGCUCAUGAGGAUGCUGGCUGAGGACGAGCUCCGGGAUGCUGUCCUCCUGGUGUUCGCUAACAAGCAGGACCUCCCCAACGCCAUGAAUGCGGCCGAGAUCACAGACAAGCUGGGGCUGCACUCCCUACGCCACAGGAACUGGUACAUUCAGGCCACCUGUGCCAUCAGCGGCGACGGGCUCUAUGAAGGACUGGACUGGCGGUCCAAUCAGCUCCGGAACCAGAAGUGAAUGCGACCCCCCCCCACCACUCCUCUCACCCUCUGCUUUACUCUCAUGUGGCAAACGUGCAGCUCGUGGUGUGAGUGCCAGAAGCUGCCUCCGUGGGUUGGUCACCGUGUGCAUCGCACCGUGCUGUAAAUGUGGCAGACGCAGCCUGCAGCCAGGCUUUUUAUUUAAUGUAAAUAGUUUUUGUUUCCAAUGAGGCAGUUUCUGGUACUCCUAUGCAAUAUUACUCAGCUUUUUUUUUUUU